rnacentral:sRNA from 1 species
AGAUGGAAGGUUUCGCCGGCAUUGUCGCCCCCGCCGACGGCUCCUUCCGGGGAGCGGGUCAAAAGCUCGCUCCCACUGGCUCCCUUUCGAUGGAAUACGCCCCCCUCCGUCGGAAGGGUCUAGGGGCGGCGGAGUCCCCCAGCUCCGCCGCCCGCUUUU